rnacentral:rRNA from 1 species
CCUACGGGUGGCAGCAGUGAGGAAUAUUGGUCAAUGGGCGAGAGCCUGAACCAGCCAAGUCGCGUGAGGGAGUACUGCCCUAUGGGUUGUAAACCUCUUUUGUCGGGGAGCAAAAGCCGGACGUGUCCGGCUGUGAGAGUACACGAAGAAAAAGAGUCGGCUAAAUCCGUGACAGCAGCCGCGGUAAUACGGAGGAUGCGAGCGUUAUCCGGAUUUAUUGGGUUUAAAGGGUGCGCAGGCGGAUUUUUAAGUCAGCGGUAAAAUCGUGGGGCUCAACCCCAUCCAGCCGUUGAAACUGGGGAUCUAGAGUGUGCGAGAGGUAUGCGGAAUGCGUGGUGUAGCGGUGAAAUGCAUAGAUAUCACGCAGAACCCCGAUUGCGAAGGCAGCAUACCGGUGCACAACUGACGCUCAGGCACGAAAGCGUGGGUAUCGAACAGGAUUAGAUACCCGGGUAGUC